rnacentral:rRNA from 1 species
AGUGAACGCUGGCGGUAGGCCUAACACAUGCAAGUCGAACGGCAGCACAGUAAGAGCUUGCUCUUACGGGUGGCGAGUGGCGGACGGGUGAGGAAUACAUCGGAAUCUACUUUUUCGUGGGGGAUCACGUAGGGAAACUUACGCUAAUACCGCAUACGACCUACGGGUGAAAGCAGGGGAUCUUCGGACCUUGCGCGAUUGAAUGAGCCGAUGUCGGAUUAGCUAGUUGGCGGGGUAAAGGCCCACCAAGGCGACGAUCCGUAGCUGGUCUGAGAGGAUGAUCAGCCACACUGGAACUGAGACACGGUCCAGACGCCUACGGGAGGCAGCAGUGGGGAAUAUUGGACAAUGGGCGCAAGCCUGAUCCAGCCAUACCGCGUGGGUGAAGAAGGCCUUCGGGUUGUAAAGCCCUUUUGUUGGGAAAGAAAAGCAGCAGGUUAAUACCCCGCUGUUCUGACGGUACCCAAAGAAUAAGCACCGGCUAACUUCGUG